GGUGUUGUCAAGGUUAUAGGAGGUGUUGUCAAGGCUAGAGUAGGUGUUGUCAAGGUUACAGGAGGUGUUGUCAAGGUUAGAUGAGGUGUUGUCAAGGUUAUAGGAGGUGUUGUCAAGGCUAGAGUAGGUGUUGUCAAGGUUAUAGGAGGUGUUGUCAAGGCUAGAGUAGGUGUUGUCAAGGUUAUAGGAGGUGUUGUCAAGGUUAGAUGAGGUGUUGUCAAGGUUAUAGGAGGUGUUGUCAAGGCUAGAGUAGGUGUUGUCAAGGUUAUAGGAGGUGUUGUCAAGGCUAGAGUAGGUGUUGUCAAGGUUAUAGGAGGUGUUGUCAAGGUUAUAGGAGGUGUUGUCAAGGUUAGAUGAGGUGUUGUCAAGGUUAGAUGAGGUGUUGUCAAGGUUAUAGGAGGUGUUUUCAAGGCUAGAGUAGGUGUUGUCAAGGCAAGAGUAGGUGAUUUCGAAGUUAGAGGAGGUGUGGUCAAAAUUAGAGGAGGUGUGGUCAAGGUUAGAGGAGGUGUGGUCAAGGUUAGAGUAGGUGUGGUCAAGGUUAGAGUAGGUGUGGUCAAAAUUAGAGGAGGUGUGGUAAAGGAUAGAGGAGGUGUUGUCAAGGUUAUAGGAGGUGUUUUCAAGGUUAGAGGAGGUGUUGUCAAGGUUAGAGGAGGUGGUGUCAAGGUUAGAGGAGGUGGUGUCAAGGUUACAGGAGGUGUUUUCAAGGCUAGAGGAGGUGUUGUCAAGGUUAGAGGAGGUGUUGUCAAGGCUAGUUGAGGUGUUGUCAAGGUUAGAGGAGGUGUUGUCAAGGCUAGAGGAGGUGUUGUCAAGGUUAGAGGAGGUGUUGUCAAUGUUAGUGGAGGUGUUGUCAAGGUUAGAUGAGGUGUUGUCGAGGUUAGAGAAGCUGUUGUCAAGGUUAGAGGAGGUGUUGUCAAGGCUAGAGGAGGUGUUGUCAAGGUUAGUGGAGGUGUUGUCAAGGUUAGAGAAGCUGUUGUCAAGGUUAGAGGAGGUGUUGUCAAGGCUAGAGGGGGUGUUGUCAAUGUUAGAGGAGGUGUUGUCAAGGUUAGAUGAGGUGUUGUUGAGGUUAGAGAAGGUGUUGUCAAGGUUAGAGUAGCUGUUGUCAAGGCUUGAGGAGGUGUUGUCAAGGUUAGAUGAGGUGUUGUCAAGGUUAGAGGAGCUGUUGUCAUGUUAGAUGAGGUGUUGUCAAGGUUAGAGGAGCUGUUGUCAAGGUUAGUGGCGGUGUUGUCAAUGUUAGAUCAGGUGUUGUCAAGGUUAGAGGAGCUGUUGUCAAAGUUAGAGGAGGUGUUGUCAAGGUUAGAGGAGGUGUUGUCAAGGUUAGAGGAGCUGUUGUCAAGGUUAGAGGAGCUAUUGUCAAAGUUAGAGGAGGUGUUGUCAAGGCUAGAUGAGGUGUUGUCAAGGCUAGAGGAGGUGUUGUCAAGGUUAGAGGAGGUGUUGUCAAGGUUAGAUGAGGUGUGGUCAAGGUUAGAGGAAGUGUUGUCAAGGUUAGAAAAUAUGUUUGGGAACAGACUUUUUCUGUUGGCCCAACUGUAGGAGGAAAUAAAAUAAAGUCAUAUGCUUUUGAAUGGAUGCUCUCAACAUCAGUUGUAUGGAGAGGCAGAUGGGUGAACAUACAAAUAGACAGACAGAAGUAGCAUGUCAUCAUACCCGAGUGGCGCAGCGGUCUAAGGCACUGCAUCUCAGUGCAAGAGGCAUCACUACAGUCCUUGGUUCAAAUCCAGGCUGUAUCACAUCCGUCCAUGUUUGGGAGUGCCAUAGGGCGGUGCUCGUCCAGGUUUGGCCAGGCUAGGCCGUCAUUGUAAAUAAGAAUUUGUUGUUAACUGACUUGCCUAUUCAAAUAAUGGCAAAAUAAAAGAAAUAUAAAAACAUACCCUGAGGGUAUGCUGACGACAUGACGGUGGUGGGCCUGAUCGCCG
rnacentral:lncRNA from 1 species